rnacentral:rRNA from 1 species
GACGAACGCUGGCGGCGUGCUUAACACAUGCAAGUCGAACGGAAAGGCCCUGCUUUUGUGGGGUGCUCGAGUGGCGAACGGGUGAGUAACACGUGAGUAACCUGCCCUUGACUUUGGGAUAACUUCAGGAAACUGGGGCUAAUACCGGAUAGGAGCUCCUGCUGCAUGGUGGGGGUUGGAAAGUUUCGGCGGUUGGGGAUGGACUCGCGGCUUAUCAGCUUGUUGGUGGGGUAGUGGCUUACCAAGGCUUUGACGGGUAGCCGUCCUGAGAGGGUGACCGGCCACAUUGGGACUGAGAUACGGCCCAGACUCCUACGGGAGGCAGCAGUGGGGAAUAUUGCACAAUGGGCGGAAGCCUGAUGCAGCAACGCCGCGUGCGGGAUGACGGCCUUCGGGUUGUAAACCGCUUUCGCCUGUGACGAAGCGUGAGUGACGGUAAUGGGUAAAGAAGCACCGGCUAACUACGUG